GCGCAGCGAAAGCGAGUCUUAAUAGGGCGUUGAGUUAGAUGGAUCAGACCCGAAACCGAGUGAUCUAGGCAUGGCCAGGUUGAAGGUAAGGUAACACUUACUGGAGGACCGAACCCACAUCCGUUGAAAAGGAUCGGGAUGAGCUGUGCCUAGGGGUGAAAGGCCAAUCAAACUCGGAGAUAGCUGGUUCUCUGCGAAAUCUAUUUAGGUAGAGCGUCAUCCGAAUACCCUCGGGGGUAGAGCACUGGAUGGGCUAGGGGGUCCCAACGACUUACCAAACCUAACCAAACUCCGAAUACCGAGGAGUACUAGAUGGCAGACACACUGCGGGUGCUAAGGUCCGUAGUGGAGAGGGAAACAGCCCUGACCACCAGCUAAGGUCCCUAAGUUAUCACUAAGUGGGAAACGAUGUGGGAGUGCUUAGACAACCAGGAGGUUGGCUUAGAAGCAGCCACCCUUUAAAGAAAGCGUAAUAGCUCACUAGUCGAGUCGGCCUGCGCGGAAGAUGUAACGGGGCUAAGCAAUAUACCGAAGCUGCGGAUACGUGUUUACACGUAUGGUAGGGGAGCGUUGUGUAAGUGGAUGAAGGUGAAUCGAGAGGUUUGCUGGACAUAUCACAAGUGCGAAUGCUGACAUGAGUAACGAUAAUGGGAGUGAAAAACUCCCACGCCGGAAGACCAAGGUUUCCUGUCCCAUGCUAAUCAGGGCAGGGUAAGUCGGCCCCUAAGGCGAGGCAGAAAUGCGUAGUCGAUGGGAAACGGAUUAAUAUUUCCGUACUUAUAUAAUCAGUGAUGGAGGGACGGAGAAGGCUAAGCAAGCUUGGCGUUGGUUGUCCAAGUGAAAGCAAGUAGGCCGAGUGUUUAGGUAAAUCCGGACGCUUAAAGCUGAGAUGCGAGACGAGCUACUACGGUAGUGAAGUUGUUGAUGCCCUGCUUCCAGGAAAAGCUUCUAAACUUAUGAUUAUAUGAACCGUACCCCAAACCGACACAGGUGGUCAGGUAGAGAAUACUAAGGCGCUUGAGAGAACUCGGGUGAAGGAACUCGGCAAAAUUGUACCGUAACUUCGGGAGAAGGUACGCCCUUGUUUGUGAUAGGACUUGCUCCUUGAGCAGAUGAGGGCCGCAGUGACCAGGUGGCUGGGACUGUUUAUUAAAAACACAGCACUCUGCUAACUCGCAAGAGGACGUAUAGGGUGUGACACCUGCCCGGUGCCGGAAGGUUAAUUGAUGGGGUUAUCUUCGGAGAAGCUCUUGAUCGAAGCCCCGGUAAACGGCGGCCGUAACAAUAACGGUCCUAAGG
rnacentral:rRNA from 1 species